CAUUUCUCUCCCCUAAAUGCAUCUUUCUGCUCUUAAGUUUACGGAUGGGGGGCAAUUUUUUCUAGUCCUUACACGAGGAAGGCAAAAAGGACCUUUUUAUUGGGAGAUUGAGACUAAAAGCAAUGAUCGCUCCGAAUCAUUCUAAUGGGCAUUUCAGGGAUUCAAGGAAGGCUGCAUCACCACUGCUAUUAUUCCCAUCCUUAGCGUUUCCCUGUGCCCAUACAUUUGAAAUAUCUGGUGAAAGGAAGGGUGAAACCAUAUGUUGAAGGAGCUGCAUCUCAUUAGGGCAGUAUUAUUUUCAUCUGAUUGGAGAAGAAUGGUGUCUUCAUUCGGAAUCGUGUAUAGUAGGAUAGAGAAUUUUUCGGCUGUUUGGUAAACAUCAACAAAUGAUGAAACCUUCCACGGCAGAGACGCUCCAUAAAGGAAGGAUGUUGUGGAUAAUUCUUCUAAGCACAAUUGCUCUAGCAUGGACUACACCUAUUCCCUUGAUAGAGGACUCGGAGGAACUGGAUGAGCCUUGCUUUGAUCCAUGUUACUGUGAAGUGAAGGAAAGCCUUUUCCAUAUACAUUGUGACAACAAGGGAUUUAUAAAUAUUAGUCAGAUAACAGAGUCGUGGUCGAGACCUUUUAAACUUUAUCUGCAGAGGAAUUCCAUGAGGAAAUUGUACACCAACAGUUUUCUUCACUUGAACAAUGCUGUAUCUAUUAACCUUGGGAACAAUGCACUGCAGGACAUUCAGACCGGGGCUUUUAACGGGCUCCGAGUUCUGAAGAGGUUGUAUUUGCACGAAAACAAAUUGGACAUUUUCAGGAACGACACUUUCCUGGGUUUGGAAAGUCUGGAAUAUCUGCAGGCAGAUUACAAUGUCAUUAAACGGAUUGAAAGCGGGGCAUUUCGAAACCUAAGUAAAUUGAGGGUCCUUAUCCUAAAUGACAAUCUUAUCCCCAUGCUUCCCACCAAUUUAUUUAAGUCUGUGUCCUUAACCCACUUGGACUUGCGGGGGAACCGCCUCAAAGUCCUUUCGUACCGCGGGAUGUUGGACCACAUUGGCAGGAGCCUGAUGGAGAUCCAGCUGGAGGAGAACCCGUGGAACUGUACGUGCGAGAUUGUGCAGCUCAAGAGCUGGCUGGAGCGCAUCCCCUACACCGCUCUGGUGGGGGACAUCACCUGCGAGACCCCCUUCCACUUCCACGGGAAGGACCUGCGGGAAAUCAAGAGAAGCAAGCUCUGCCCCAUGCUGUCCGACUCCGAGGUGGAAGCCAGCCUGGGCAUCCCUCAGCUGUCCUCCAGCAAGGAGAACGCGUGGCCUACGAAGCCUUCCUCCAUGCUGUCCUCCUUCCAUUUCACCGCUUCCUCUGUUGAGUACAAAACGUCCAACAAGCAGCCCAAGCCCACCAAGCAGCCCAGGGCGCCCCGGCCUCCCCCGACCCCCCGUGGCCUGUACCCCGGGCCCAACCAACCGCCCGUGGCUGCCUACCAGACCCGGCCCCCCAUCCCCAUCAUCUGCCCCACCGGCUGCUCUUGCAGUUUGCACAUCAACGACCUGGGCCUGACGGUCAACUGCAAGGAGCGGGGAUUCCACAACAUCUCCGAGCUCCUGCCCAGGCCCUUGAACGCCAAGAAGCUGUACCUGAGCGGGAAUUUGAUCCAGAAAAUCUACCGCUCCGAUUUCUGGAAUUUUUCCUCCUUGGAUCUCUUACACCUGGGGAACAACCGGAUCUCCUACGUGCAGGACGGGGCGUUCAUCAACCUGCCGAACCUCAAGAGCCUGUACCUGAACGGGAACGACAUCGAGCGGCUCACCCCGGGCAUGUUCCGGGGCCUGCAGAGUUUGCAUUACCUGUACUUCGAGUACAACCUGAUCAGGGAAAUCCAGCCGGCGGCCUUCAGCCUCAUGCCCAACCUGAAGCUCCUCUUCCUCAACGACAACCUGCUCCGCACGCUGCCCACCGACGCCUUCGCCGGCACCUCCCUGGCGCGCCUCAACCUGCGCAACAACCACUUCCUGGCGCUGCCGGUGGCCGGGGUGCUGGAGCACCUGCACGCCAUCGUGCAGAUCGACCUGAAGCUCAACCCCUGGGACUGCACCUGCGAGCUGGUGCCGCUGAAGCAGUGGCUGGAGGCGCUCAGCUCCGUCAGCGUGGUGGGCGAGGUGCUGUGCGCCAGCCCCGAGCCGCUGGCCCGCCGCGACCUGCGCUCUCUGGAGCUGGCCGCGCUGUGCCCCGCCGCCCUGCGCCCCGCCGCCGCCGCCGCCUCGCCCCCCGCCGCCGCCCCGCCGCCGCCGGCCGCCACCGGCGCGGCCGCCUACGAGCUGCCCCCGGCCGCCGCGGCCGCGGCCGUGCCGCUCUCCGUGCUCAUCCUCAGCCUCCUCGUCCUCUUCUUCUCCGCCGUGCUGGUGGCCGCCGGGCUCUUCGCCUUCGUGCUGCGCCGCCGCCGGCGGAAGCUGCCGUUCCGCGGCCCGCGGGCGGAGGCGGCGGACCUGGGCGCGGUGCCGCUGCGCUGCCCGCGGCUCUUCCCCGAGGGCGGCGGCGGCGGCGGCGGCGGGGGCGGCGGCGGGGGGGGCCCCGGGGAGCGGUCCCCGGAGAAGGCGCCCCCGGCGGGCCACGUCUACGACUACAUCCCGCACCCGGUGACCCAGAUGUGCAACAACCCCAUCUACAAGCCGCGGGAGGAGGAAGAGGCGGCGGGCGGCGGCGGCGGCGAGGCGGCCGAGCUGCUGCGGGGCGGCGGCGAGCGCGGCUUCGCCCACCCCGCCGCCCCCGCCGCCGCGCCGGAGCCGGGCAGCAGCUACCGCACCUUGCUGGAGAAGGAGCAGGAGUGGAGCCUGGCCGUGUCCAGCUCGCAGCUCAACACCAUCGUGGCCGUGCACCCCCAGCACCCCGCGGGCGGAGGGCUGGCGGCGGGCGCGCUCGGGGCGGCGGCGGCGGCGGCGGGGGGAGCCCCGCGGGACCGCGACCGCCCGCCGCCCUGCGCCGUGGGGUUCGUGGACUGCCUGUACGGCACCGUGCCCAAGCUGAAGGAACUGCACGUCCACCCCCCCGGCAUGCAAUACCCGGACCUGCAGCAGGACGCCAGGCUGAAGGAGACGCUGCUCUUCGCGGCCGGCAAGGGCUUCCCGGACCACCAAACCCCCACAAGCGAAUACCUCGAGUUAAGGGCCAAACUCCAAACCAAGCCGGAUUACCUCGAAGUCCUGGAGAAGACCACGUACCGGUUCUGACCGCCGCCCCGCCGCCCGCCCGGCCCCGCCGCCCGCGAGCCGAGGAUACAGCUGUGCGCUCUGCCCCGCCAGAUGUGCGCGCUGCGGGGCAGGGCCCUUCUCAGAUCAGUAAUCGACGAAGUGCCUUCGCAGACUUUUGCCAGCAGAUGUUAAUCAAUCAUUAUUUUUUUAUACUGAAACUGAGACUUUGACUGUGCCAUGUCUAAAGUGACCCAAAAACCUGGCUGCUUUGGAAAGUGGAUAGUAUUGGCAAGCAAAGAAAUAUGGCAAGUAAAAAGUCUUUUUUAGAUCCAGUUGAUGUCAGUGUUUUCUUCAAAAAAAGGGCAAGUCACAGCCCUGAGGGGUCCUGAGGAGGAGUCAAGGCACCGAUUAAGGCAGAGAGUAAUUGUUCAGUCCGUGCUUAAUUGUCCCCUUCAGUUUUAAACCAGUGAAGAAUUGUGGAUGGAUCCAGUUUUUGUAGAUAAAUAUAUAUAUGCAUUCCUUCUGUGAGCAGUGGGGGGCUGUGACACUGCAGCCAGGGAGGCUGAUGGAAGGAAUGGCAAUGGUUAAGCUGGGACAAGUGGGAAUUUUGCCAAGGCUGACAGUGAGAAUGGCACCUGAAAGUCAAGUGCCUCUCGCUGGCUUUGAGACAACCAAUAACUACAUGAAAUUCUUGUUGCAAACCCUUGUUUUAGAGCAGGUAACAAAUAGCUCCCAGACCCUAUUUUUCCUGCCUUUAGCCCAAGCUCUCACCAGCCCGCACGUCGCUGGCUUUCCCAGAAUUCCUUUUACCUGCCUGCAUGCACAGAUCCUCCUUGGGCUGAGGACACACCCUGACCCCUGUGUUUGUGCCUGGAGUGGAGACCAACUGAAAACACAGUUCUCUCUGUUGGGUUUUUCUGUAGAGUGGUGUAUUGCACCUCGAGGCUUCCCUCUGCCCCGCCUGGAGUGCCCUCAGCUUGCUGGCAGCCUCGCCAGGUUGGCCAUGGUGGUGCCACAGGCCUUUGCCAGCCCCUCCGAGCCAACCAGAGUCUGUGCAAGCCUUCAGAGCACAAAGCCCUGAUAAGAAGGAUCUCUAACAGGUACGCAUCAGGGAGAAGGAGGAGACGUUCCUAAAAUUAGUUGCUGUCAGCCCCAAGCAGGAGCGAGUGCCUCGUGUGUCACGGAAACGCUGAGUAUGUGCUGUGUAUACUGUGUGGAUAUCUAAGUAUGUACCUAUAAUUACACCAUUGAAGUGUAAAAUUCAAUCUUUUGCCAACUUCUGGGAGAUUCAGGAAUGUGGCUUGCUUUGGACUGUAAUUAAAAUAUGGGCAUUUCGGUUAAAAAUAGCUCCUUUCCGACCUACAUUCCCGAUGUAGGUCAGUGGAGGCACUGCUCAGACAUAUUAGCAUUUUGGACACUUAAUCUUAGCAGCAUAUUGCAUCUCCUAGAAUAGGUUAGGAGAGGCAAGGCAGGAGGAACUGCUGCAUCUCGAGUCACCCAGAGAGGUUGCCAAGUUUCUCAGGCACCAGAGAGGCAGAAUAAUGAGGAUUAUAUUUAAUUCGGGCUGGAGAGACAACCGUGGGGUGUUGAGCAGAGGCAGCUCGGAUCAUCUUGGCUCUGUGGGGGAGGGAGAAUUUAUAACUCUAGCUGGCUCCAAAGCAAGCUGUGUGUGCUUUGCGUGUGUAUAUAUAUUUAUAUAUAUGUAUAUACAAAUCUGGAUGUGUAUAUAACACCCUGUGUAUAUAUGUAUGUAUGUAUGUAUAUGCCUACAGUGUACAAAAUGUGUAUCUAUAGAAAUGUAUACAUUUAUAUGAAUUUCUAUUUCUCUAUAUAAAUAGUCAUGCAACUAGGGGAAAUCACAUUUCCACGGCGUGACCUUUUCUGUAACACCCCCCCAAAAAGAAGCUGCUUCCAUUAAUGUCAUAUUGGCACAAAUGACUUAAUUUUUCUUUUCUGCUUUGAAAGGAGCGGUGCUUAGUGGCUGAGCACAAGCCUGGAAGGUUUUUACUCUUCCAGAGGACUUCCAGUAAAUCAUGAGUUGCUCCAGAGCCGUUCCACAUUUGUGAAAUAAAGUGGUGGCCAAAAUGUCUCAGGGCUGGUUUUAUAGGCAAAGGAAAGGGGUUGUUGAGUGUGCACUGGAAACCUCUGCUAUGUUCUCAGAACUCUGAUGGUGAAAUGCCUGCACUGCUAAUUACUCUGGUUGCUGUUAAUUUCCCAGCAACUGGCUUGAACAGGGAAAAAAAAAAAAUCCUGCUCUAAAGUAAGUUAUCUGAAGUUUGAUUAUGUUGCCUCAGUGAUGUAUGGAUUUCCAUUUAGGGUCAGGAUGUUGGGCUGUAAAUCAAGAAUCUGAGCUCAGUGAACAUCUAGUUUGGGUUGUGUCUUUUCUGUUCUAAUUGAUUUUAAAUAAUUUCAAUUCAUCAUCAGAACAAGCUGUACCUUAAUUCAUGAUAAGCUCAAAGAAUUUCCCAUUCAUAUCAGGGUGAAUUUUGCACUUGACUUCGGUGGGGUUGAACGAGGUCAGAGCGUUUCAUUCAGCACUGGCAUAAAAAACAAUCUUGUAGUUGUGCAACUAUUAAUUCAAAUUGUAAUUUUGUAAUAAAAGCAGCCCAAAAAUGA